rnacentral:rRNA from 1 species
UACGAAGGCCCCAAGCGUUAUCCGGAAUUACUGGGUGUAAAGAGUUCGUAGGUGGAGGAAUAAGUCAGUGGUGAAAGGUCUGGGCUCAACCCAGUAUUUGCCACCGAAACUAUUCCCCUUGAAUUAGGGAGAGGUAAGCAGAACUGUAUGAGUAGGGGUGCAAUCCGUUGAUACAUACAAGAAUACCAAAAGCGAAGGCAGCUUACUGGAACUAUAUUGACACUGAGGAACGAAAGCGUAGGGAGCGAAAAGG